rnacentral:rRNA from 1 species
GAUGAACGCUAGCUACAGGCUUAACACAUGCAAGUCGCGGGGCAGCAUGGGGGUUGCUUGCAAUCCCCGAUGGCGACCGGCGCACGGGUGAGUAACGCGUAUCCAACCUGCCCUUCACCACGGGAUAACCCGGCGAAAGUCGGACUAAUACCGUAUGUUGUCCAUUGACGGCAUCCGAUUUGGACGAAAGGUUUGGCGGUGAAGGAGGGGGAUGCGUCCGAUUAGCUGGACGGCGGGGUGACGGCCCACCGUGGCGACGAUCGGUAGGGGUUCUGAGAGGAAGGUCCCCCACACUGGAACUGAGACACGGUCCAGACUCCUACGGGAGGCAGCAGUGAGGAAUAUUGGUCAAUGGGCGUAAGCCUGAACCAGCCAAGUAGCGUGCAGGAUGUCGGCCCUAUGGGUUGUAAACUGCUUUUAUGCGGGGAUAAAGUGGCCCACGUGUGGGUUUUUGCAGGUACCGCAUGAAUAAGGACCGGCUAAUUCCGUG